AUGAGGAGCAGAGCUUUUGUGGACCUACUGAAGGAGUCAAGGAGGUCUGUAAGCAUGACGUGGUCACUUCAGCAAUAUCAAGCAUGGACAGAUGUGCUGAAUGUGUGGGACCUGUUGCAGCACUAAAGUGGAUUGGCCUGAGAUGUAAAUUGUGCUCCAGUUUUUGGCACAAGUCCUGUUAUUCAAAGUUUCAUGAAUGGACUAGAAAACAGG